UGGAGAGACACACUGAGGCUAGUGGUGUUGUGGAGAGAGGCACUGAGGCUAGUGGUGUUGUGGAGAGAGGCACUAAGACUAGUGGUGUUGUGGAGAGAGGCACUGAGGCUAGUGGUGUUGUGGAGAGAGGCACUAAGACUAGUGGUGUUGUGGAGAGAGGCACUGAGGCUAGUGGUGUUGUGGAGACCGCCUUGGAGACUAUGGUGAGGCCUAAUAGAAAGCAGUUGUUGUUG